rnacentral:tRNA from 1 species
GUCAGGUUAGCCAAGUGGUAAGGCGGCCGCCUCGAAAUCUUAUACAGGAUAGCGGCUGUGCAUUCGCACGCAAGGGUUCGAAUCCCUUACCUGGCG